AUUGAACGCUGGCGGCAUGCCUUACACAUGCAAGUCGAACGGCAGCACGGGAGCAAUCCUGGUGGCGAGUGGCGAACGGGUGAGUAAUACAUCGGAACGUGCCCAGUAGUGGGGGAUAGCCCGGCGAAAGCCGGAUUAAUACCGCAUACGACCGAUGGGUGAAAGCGGGGGAUCGCAAGACCUCGCGCUAUUGGAGCGGCCGAUGUCGGAUUAGCUAGUUGGUGGGGUAAAGGCUUACCAAGGCUACGAUCCGUAGCUGGUCUGAGAGGACGACCAGCCACACUGGGACUGAGACACGGCCCAGACUCCUACGGGAGGCAGCAGUGGGGAAUUUUGGACAAUGGGCGCAAGCCUGAUCCAGCCAUGCCGCGUGCGGGAAGAAGGCCUUCGGGUUGUAAACCGCUUUUGUCAGGGAAGAAACGGUCUGGGUUAAUACCUCGGACUAAUGACGGUACCUGAAGAAUAAGCACCGGCUAACUACGUGCCAGCAGCCGCCGUAAAAC
rnacentral:rRNA from 1 species